GGAGAAGUUCACUCUGAAGCUUCGCUUCCGCUCAGACAUUGAAGAGCUCGUCCUGUACCAGCCUACGCUGACCCGGAUCGAACUACUUGCGUACGCCGGCGGCUACCUGGGCAUAUGGCUCGGAAUGUCGGCCCUCGCAUUCCUCUUGGAUCUCCACGGUAAAGCGUAUUGGCACAAGAAAGAAAUCAAGAAGAUCUUCAGUACCAUGUUGACACCGAGCGGCCAAAGUUUGUGGCUGAAAAAGAAACAACGAUGGACUGACCCUGUGAUUCGCGUCCGCUAAAGAAUGUUCAGCUCAAGUAGCUGCUUCGAGAUCAAGGUGCCUGCAAUAUCU
rnacentral:lncRNA from 1 species